rnacentral:rRNA from 1 species
UACGGGGGGGGCAAGCGUUGUUCGGAAUUACUGGGCGUAAAGGGCUCGUAGGCGGCCAACUAAGUCAGACGUGAAAUCCCUCGGCUUAACCGGGGAACUGCAUCUGAUACUGGAUGGCUUGAGUUCGGGAGAGGGAUGCGGAAUUCCAGGUGUAGCGGUGAAAUGCGUAGAUAUCGGGAGGAAGGCCGGUGGCGAAGGCGGCGCUCUGGAACGUUACUGACGCUGAGACACGAAAGCGUGGGGAGCAAACAGG